rnacentral:lncRNA from 1 species
AACCCUAACAUUCUCACGGGUGCAAUCGUAGGAGGUCCAAAUGAGAAGGAUGCGUAUGCAGAUAACAGAGAAGAUUUCAUUCAAUCGGAGCCUACUACUUACAUCAACGCCCCCUUCGUCGGACCUUUGGCGUACUUCGCCUCCGGUGGAUCGGCUUGAAACCGUCGGUCGAAGCCGAACGUGACAAUAUCCAAUUGAACAAGUAAUUUAAAUGUGUAACUUUUUAAUAGGCUAAGGUCCAAUAUUAUUGGACCUGGUAUAAUUAUGUUAAUCGUGUUUGUAAGAGACUUCAUUUUAAUAAACCAAUCUUCCGGUUGAGACUAGAAACCAUUUAUUUUUUUGAAUGUCGGUAUUCAGAGGAAAUCUCGAGUCCAAACGCAACCCCCAUGCUUCCAUUCCAUUCCCCAUGGUUCCCGCAGCUCCUAUGCAUCUCAUUCCCUAGCUUGCAGUUUGCUGAAUGAACUGCCGCCAGUUCAAAAUAACAAGUUUCCAACCAAGUUGAAGAUAACAAACUGGCUAAUAGCCAUUGAUCUGAUCAGGGUAAACAUUACAUACAUGUUGUAGCAGAAAGUGCUGCUGCAUGUUAGUAGUACCACGCAAGAACCCAACCAAAAGCUCUACUCAAACUUUCUGAAUUCAUGUUCCCAAACAAAAACACUUUAGCUUUAAACUAAAAAAUCGUUUGAACAUGUAUUACAAGGACCAAGGACAAAACCUUGUUCGAGAUCACGUUACGAUACUCAGAGAGCAUCCAUCAUUCAUCGUAUCUUAUCAAUAUUCAGCAAGUUUUCAAGUUUGAUAUUGUUUUUCAAUUAGAGUAAUGAUCCUUGCAAUUUCUCAAACCGGCUUAACCUCGCAGGGGAUAAGAUCAACCCAGAUUUCAGUCUCAUCAAACCUCUUUGGAUCCAAAUAUUUAGAGUAGUCAUAUACAAAGAAGGUUAAAAAUUGCGAACUUUUGGUGAACAGAGAGAUCAGUCAAGUGAGAAGAGGAAAACAAUGUGUGGGCCCUCUAUUUCACACACUAUUUUCCUCUAUCACUUUUGAGUUUUGACUGAAAGGUAAAAAUAAUGUAUAUAUAUAUAUAUAUAUAUAUUAUUCUCAUACUUAUAUUUCUUAUAAAAAAGUAUAUAUCCGUAUAUACCCCGUUUAGGCGUCCGUCUACACGGCUAGACGGGUAAUGAAUGCGCGUUUUAGAACACUACGUGUGGGAGAAGGAAGACUCUGAAUAGGUUGUAGUACAAGUGAAACACAUCUAGUAAGUUAUGAUAUAAGAUAAGCAAGACUUUCCACAAGGCUACCGCAAGUUAAGAUCACACCUAUAUUUUAUAGUUAUUCAACAUACAUCGUAACCUUACGGGCAGGGAUAGAUAGUAUCAUUGACGUGUGGGAGAAGGAAGACUCUAAAUAGGUUAUAGUACAAGUGAAACACAUCUAGUAAGUUAUGAUAUAAGAUAAGAAAGACAUUCCACAAGGCUACCGCAAGUUAAGAUAUGCGGAGAAAGUUCCUUUUUCAAACUAAGAUAUGCAAAAACAUUAAAUAGGCAAGUUUGGGAAAUUCAGUACAAAAACGAACAAGACUUUGGAAAACAUAUUCCUCACAAAUGCUUCUUAGAGAGAUUGCAAGAGAUGCGCUUAACGAGCACUUGUAGCGACUCUGAGUUUUCUUUGACCAAACUUCAAUUCCCACGGACUAGAUCUUGAUUGUGCGAAGCGGAGAUAUCUCUGAUCAUAAGUCCUCAUAACACGCCAGGUCCAUAGGCUAUUCCAGAUGCUAUCUAGUUAAACAUUUGUUAUCUACCUCGGACAAUUCCUCGCGUUGUUGUGAUGUAGGAUUCGGGACAUGACUUACUCCACAUAUAUUUUCAAGUCCGUAGAGUGUAGUGUCGUCCAAGAAUGAUGAAAAUUUCUACCUUUUAAACUAUGUGCCUCAUGGGUCAAGUGAGGAUUAGCUAAGUUACUUAUGUUUUGGAACAUUGCUGAUGAACACUAUUUAUCAAGUGAGGAUUAGCUAACUUGCUUGGGAUCAUGGUUUCAUGUUUUCAUAUCAUUGUAGUUUAUGUUUAUAUGUAAUUUAUGUUUAACUGAGAAAAAAGGUUUUACUGUGUUAUUUAAGAUAAUAUAACUCCUUGAUUAUGUUAUACAUAAUUAUUGCAUUCUAAUAAAGUUAUUAAGAUUUUAUUUAUAAUCAUUAGUAUUAUUGUUAUUAUGAAUAUACAAGAUGAUAUCAACUACAUAUAAUUAAUUAAUACAAUUAAAUAUAUUUGAAAUGUAAUUUAACAUAUUUAAAAUAUUACUGAGAUAUUCUUUGAUAAAGACAAAUAUAUAGAAAUUGUUUUUUUCCUUAAUUAACUGACAUUAAAAAUGUAAGUUACAAAAGUUGAUAUUAUAAUGUGUGAUAAUUUAAUAGAUAUCUCACCGAUAAAGUUAACAAAUCUGAACUAGUUGUUAAAUUUAACUUUUACUAAACUACUAUUAUUUUAUCAGUUCCCCAUUAGAGUACUAUCAUAAUACCAAAAUCAAUAACAAUAUAUAGCUUUAUAUGAUCAUAUGUUUAUAUGAUUCACUCUCCAAGAAGAGUUCGUAGGAACUCAAGUCGGGAUGUGACUUAGCAAGUAUUUGCGUCAACUUGUCGGUUAGCUUCUCCAAGUCUUCGUCAACUAAUUGGACCACAUAAACCCUAAACUCAAUUCAAUAUUCACGCUUCCUUCUUCCCUUAGUCUCAUGCAAACCUUUUAUCUUUACUGGAGAAUGUAAAUUUCAUAUUAUUGACAUGACAUUUAAUGAUGCGUCUGCCAGCUUAAAUCAUGGUAAAUAAUUAUAUAUUAUACACAUAACGGCAAUAACCAUUGCAUUAAUUCACGUAAUCUCAUAAGGGCAAUGACAUCGAUCGGGCAGAUUAAGGAUGGACAUACCCAUCCAGAACUGAUCUUCGGAUCAGGGUCCCAGACCCAAUUGGACCCGGUUUAAAUAUUCAAAGGGUUCUAAAUUGUUAUAUCCAAAAAUUGAUACCGUAUUCAACCCACACCAAAAACCGAAUGAACUGCAAACAUAUAAAUUAGUACAUAAAAAUAUUAGUUAUAAUCAUACGUAUAAUGAUACUACCUGAAAUCAUAAAUAUAUUAGUUAUUUAAAAUAUUUAUAGAUAAAAUUGGAUAGUUUAGAAACAAAUACCGAUAAUCAAAUUGUAUUCAUGGUAACUAAACAUCAAACUAAAUACAAAUUAAAGAUGUGAUGAUAAAUUUCUCAAGAAGUAAUGUUUUACAACAUAUUUUUUUAUUUCAUAGAUGAAGUAAAAUUCAGUCGUUUUCUUGAUUUUUGAACUUCAUGAAAAUGUGUUAAGGUAAAAAGAGAAUUAAACAGGAGAAGUCAUUUUUUCUCCAAAAUGCCGUAUGUACUGGCUCCAUCAGCGCCGUAUCAAAUCCCUCUCCUAUCUCUGCAUCUCUCUCUCCAUUGUUGUGUAUAUAUAUGUGAACGUUCAUAUCAUGGAUUGGCACCUCAAAACUCAAAGUAAUCAACUUCAAAAUGACUUCUCUUUUCUUCUUAGUUUUCCUUUUCUCAUCUCUUCUCACUCCAAAUGUUGAUGCCAGUCCAAUUUACAUAGAAGCUCUCUCCAAGUCAUUGCUCUUCUUCCACGGUCAGCGGUCCGGUCCCCUCCCAACAGACCAACAAUUCUCGUGGAGGGCUAGCUCCGGCCUUUCAGAUGGCUCCUCCGCCAAUGUACAUCCCAAAAAACACUAAACCUCUUAUAUAGCUUUGUUAUUAUAUAAGAAUGAAUAAACUUUUAUAUGAUCUGCAGGUGGACUUAGUUGGUGGGUACUACACCGAAGGAGACAACGUCAAACACAAUUUCCCAAUGGCGUUUACCACCACAAUGCUUUCAUGGAGCACGCUUGAGUACGGUGAGCAGAUGGGUACUGAGCUCCAAAAUGCUCUUGUUAACAUCCGUUGGGCCACGGAUUAUCUGCUGAAAUGUGCUACAGCCACUCCCGGGAAGCUUUACGUCGGGGUAGGAGAUCCUAAUGCUGAUCACAAAUGCUGGGAACGGCCUGAAGAUAUGGACACACCUCAUACAGUCUAUUCUGUAUCCCCUUCUAACCCCGGUUCUGACGUAGCAGCUGAAACUGCAGCAGCUCUGGCCGCAGCUUCUAUGGUUUUCAAGGAAGUUGAUUCUGCUUACUCGCUUUUGCUGCUGGCAACAGCUAAGAAUGUGAUGCAGUUUGCCAUUAAGUACAGAGGAAGUUAUAGUGAUUCCCUUUCUUCAUCUGUCUGUCCUUUCUACUGCUCCUACUCUGGUUACAAGGGCGGCUUUUCAUAUGUCCCAUCUCUUUAUUAUUGCAACUAAAAAAACUUUUACUGCUACAUAUAUAUAUAUCAAAAUGUAAAAAUUAUGAUGACACAGGACGAGCUAAUGUGGGGUGCGGCCUGGCUGCUGAAAGCAACCGAUGACUCGUAUUACAAAAACUUCAUACAAUCUUUAGGAGGUGGAGAUCAGCCUGACAUCUUCAACUGGGACAACAAAUAUGCUGGCGCUUAUGUUCUUCUUUCACAGGUAUGUCUCUCUGCUAAAAAGAAAGUUUUUUUUAAUUGAAGUUCCAAUCUCUCAUAAGUCCGAACUAAUCUUUUGUUAAUUCCUAAUAAUAUUCCGUACCAAAGGUGGUUUGAACCCGAUACACUUUUGUUGCUUAGCAUGUCACCAAUUCACAACAAUAAUAUUUCACUUUUUGGCAGCAAGCAUUAGUUAACAACGACAACACCUUUGAACAAUACAAGCUAGAAGCUGAGAGUUUCAUAUGCAAGAUCCUCCCAAACACUCCCUCUUCUUCUACCAGUUACACUCCAGGUAAGGAGAUCUAAAUCGUGAAUACGAAUCAUUCAAACUUUCUAAAACGUUAUUUACAACUACAACCAACAGGAGGCUUGAUGUACAACUACAAGUUACCUCAGAGCAACCUACAACACGUAACGGCCAUAACAUUCUUGCUCACAACCUACGCCAAGUACAUGAAAGCCACACAACACACGUUCAACUGCGGAAACUCUGUUAACAUUGUCCCCGAUACCUUGAUAAGCUUAUCGAAGCAACAAGUGGAUUAUAUACUCGGCGAGAAUCCGGCCAAGAUGUCGUAUAUGGUUGGAUACGGAACUAGUUUCCCCAUGAGAAUCCACCACAGAGGAUCAUCUAUUCCUUCACAACCACACUUCAGCUGCGCAGAUGGACUCCAAUUUUUAAAUACUUCAAACCCUAACCCUAACAUUCUCACGGGUGCAAUCGUAGGAGGUCCAAAUGAGAAGGAUGCGUAUGCAGAUAACAGAGAAGAUUUCAUUCAAUCGGAGCCUACUACUUACAUCAACGCCCCCUUCGUCGGACCUUUGGCGUACUUCGCCUCCGGUGGAUCGGCUUGAAACCGUCGGUCGAAGCCGAACGUGACAAUAUCCAAUUGAACAAGUAAUUUAAAUGUGUAACUUUUUAAUAGGCUAAGGUCCAAUAUU